GACGGCCCAGAUUUAAUCAAAAACGGACGGCCCAGAUUAAAUCAAAAUGGACGGCUGAGAUCAAAAGGAAAAAGGGUAUAAAUAAGACCCCCACACCAGACCCCAAACCCUAGCCGCCUGCCCUCGCCGGAGAAGACGAACCAGAAGCCGGCCGCCGCCACCCGCCGCCGCACCGGAGGGAUUUUCGACCGCCGAUCGAGGUAAAUUUCAUACCCCCGACUC
rnacentral:lncRNA from 1 species